CUCUCUCUCUCUCUCUCUCUCUCUCUCUCUCUCUUCCAGAUCUUGGAUUUCACAAGCAUAGCUCAGUAGAUCUUGGAUUUCACUAGUCUUCCAAGCCCAACCCGUUCGAUUCUGAUGAUGAAUCCGAUAACAAACAUACCCGCCGCAGAUGAACACCUUUCUUCUCAACAAAGUCGUCAGAAUCGUCAAUCUAGCCAUGUGUUGAAGUGUUGUUUUGUGGACAAGCCUUAGCAAACGUAGCUUCUGUGGUCAUAUAAUCGUGGACUUCAGUUAUGUGGAUUGCACUUCUUGGAUAAAACGAGUUCCAGAGAUCAAAUGUCAUAUUUUGGUUGAUUUUGAAAUUUUUUUUGGAUGGUCUAUAGUUAGAAAUGCAUGUGCAGUGUCAUAGUUUUCCUUUGAUCAAUCAUACAUGUUCAUUUGUAUUUUUUAUGCUUAACCGGUUUUCUUUUUUUGCUUUAGCUCAAUUUUAAUUUGUGAAGAUUUUUUUUUUUGGUUUGAGGUUUGAAAUUAUACGACCAUUUGUCUC